GACGAACGCUGGCGGCGUGCUUAACACACGCAAGUCGAACGAUGAUCCCGGAGCUUGCUCCGGCGGAUUAGUGGCGAACGGGUGAGUAACACGUGAGUAACCUGCCCUUGACUCUGGGAUAACUGCUAGAAAUGGUAGCUAAUACCGGAUACGACCCUCGGUGGCAUCACCAGGGGGUGGAAAGAAUUUCGGUCAAGGAUGGACUCGCGGCCUAUCAGCUAGUUGGUGAGGUAACGGCUCACCAAGGCGACGACGGGUAGCCGGCCUGAGAGGGUGACCGGCCACACUGGGACUGAGACACGGCCCAGACUCCUACGGGAGGCAGCAGUGGGGAAUAUUGCACGAUGGGCGCAAGCCUGAUGCAGCAACGCCGCGUGAGGGAUGACGGCCUUCGGGUUGUAAACCUCUUUUAGUAGGGAAGAAGCGAAAGUGACGGUACCUGCAGAAAAAGCACCGGCUAACUACGUGCCAGCCGCCGCCGUAA
rnacentral:rRNA from 1 species